rnacentral:rRNA from 1 species
GAUGAACGCUGGCGGCGUGCCUAAUACAUGCAAGUCGAGCGAAUGGAUUAAGAGCUUGCCCUUAUGAAGUUAGCGGCGGACGGGUGAGUAACACGUGGGUAACCUGCCCAUAAGACUGGGAUAACUCCGGGAAACCGGGGCUAAUACCGGAUAACAUUUUGAACCGCAUGGUUCGAAAUUGAAAGGCGGCUUCGGCUGUCACUUAUGGAUGGACCCGCGUCGCAUUAGCUAGUUGGUGAGGUAACGGCUCACCAAGGCAACGAUGCGUAGCCGACCUGAGAGGGUGAUCGGCCACACUGGGACUGAGACACGGCCCAGACUCCUACGGGAGGCAGCAGUAGGGAAUCUUCCGCAAUGGACGAAAGUCUGACGGAGCAACGCCGCGUGAGUGAUGAAGACUUUCGGGUCGUGAAACUCUGUUGUUAGGGAAGAACAAGUGCUAGUUGAAUAAGCUGACACCUUGACGGUACCUAACCAGAAAGCCACGGCUAACUACGUGCCAGCCGCCGCCGUAA